AUAUAUUUGAGUUUGGUGAUGGCUCUGAUUGAACACUGUCCAAGUGCUUGACACAUGCUAAUCGUACGUUUUAAUACAAAUUAUUAAAAAGUGGUGUACAGGUGAGUAUUAGAUAUUUUUUGCCGACCUUAAAGAGAAGCUAGAUACUUCAUAAUAAUAAAGAGGUGAAAACCUUGCUUUAAGAGGACGAUAAUUAUCAUCGGGACAGGUAGUAGUUAAGGUGAUGACUUAACUAGCCGACAAAUCCCGUAGUCGAAUCUGGAAGGAUGAUCGACCACAUUGGGUCUGAAAAAAGCCCAAUGCAUAUAAGUACAGCAGUGAGGAAUUUUGGUCAAUGGCCUAACGGCUGAACUGGCAACUUGGAGAAGCGGAAAGUCAUACCUCUAUAGAUAACUUACUAUAUGUAUGUAUUAGAUUAAUUUUUGAAUGAAGCUUUGUUUAUAUAUCAAUAAUGAUGAUGUAUAUAUAAUGUCUUGACCAAUUACGUGCCAGCAGUCGCGGUAAUACGUAAGAGACUAGUGUUAUUCAUAUGAAUUAGGUUUAAAGGGUACUUAGGCGGCCAUAACAUCUUGUAAAAAUGCAAAUAUUAGGCUAGAGUUAUAAUAGAAGAGGGUAGUACUUGAGGAGGAGAGAUAAAAUUCAUUGAUACCAAAGGGACUGGUUACGGCGAAAGCAACCCUUUAAAUAGUAACUGACGUUGAAGGACGAAGGCAUUGGUCACGAACAGGAUUAGAUACCCUUAGUAGUCUUUGCAGUCAAUGAUGAAUGUCAUGAGUUGGAUGAAAAUCUGGCACAUAAAUAAAAGUGUAAGCAUUCCACCUCAAGAGUAAUGUGGCAACGCAGGAACUGAAAUCACUAGACCGUUUCUGACACCAGCAGUGAAGUAUGUUGUUUAAUUCGAUAAUCCACGAAAAACCUUACCGCGGUUUGUAUAGUUUAGCUUAGGCUAACACUACAGGUAUUGCACGGCUGUUUUCAGUUAAUGUUGUGAAACUGUGUAUUUAUUACACUUAAUUAACGUAAUCCUUGACUUUAUUUUGUAGAUUUACGAUAAAGUGUUUACUUCGUUAUACAUGGAGUUAUGAGAAAGGGGACUAAUACAAGUCAUCAUGGUCUUUAUACCGCGGGCUACAGACGUGCCACAUCUUCCUAAACAAAGAGAUGCAAAAAUGUGAAUUUAAGCUAAUCUCAAAAAAUAGGAUAUAAUUUUAAUGGAUUGUAGUCUGAAACUCGACUAUAUGAAAAAGUAAUUGCUAGUAAUCGUGAAUCACCAGCGUCACGGUGAAUAUUGCUCGGAUUGGUACUAACCACUCGUCACAUGCUGAAAGGUGUAUAUACAAUAAGUUUGCUUUUAUUGGUUUAAGAUCUUGUACAAAUAGGUAUCUUCUUACACCGUAAAUCUUCGCAUGUAUAUCGCUGAUUAGUGUAAAGUCGAAAUACGGUUCGUGUAGCGGAAGUUGCACGGGAAGCAUGACUAUU
rnacentral:rRNA from 1 species